UCGGGUGCGGACGAUAGGAUGAGUAGCUCCCACGGAGCGGUGAUAACGGCCUUCGCGGGCCGCGGUUCUUCGGCUGCUGAUAACUACCGCAUAAUCCUGCCCCCUCUGCCUUCUGGAAUAGUCACGACGAACUCUUUAUUUUUACACUGCGACGUAACCGGACGACCAUACCGUAUUGACGACUUUCGAGAAGAAUUACAGCGACUGCAAGUACUCGGCGAUGUGGCCUCAUUUGGUGCUUAUCAAAUGAACCACGUUUGGAUGGUCGCCUUCCAGUCUACAACAGCAAAGGACCAACUGCUUGCGGCCAAGGAGCUCACCAUCAAAGGCAAGCGCUGUCUUCUCAUUGACCCCCAAAACUCAGAACUCCGCAUAAAGAUUCACUGGGUUCCUUUUCUCGUGUCCGAUGACACGGUGCGUCGAGCGCUAGAGCAGUACGGCCAAGUUCAUGAAGUCACCCGCGAGACGUGGCGGGCCCAAGGUUUUCAGGGCAUACAGUCGACGACAAGACUGGUUCGAAUCACUCUGAAAGAGGGCGUCACAAAGGAAGACGUCCCUCACCAACUCCGGCUGUUCGGCGGCACAGCGCUCGUCCUAGUGCCCGGACGCGCCCCCUUAUGUCUCCGGUGCAAAAAAACCGGGCAUAUUCGGAAGGACUGCAGAGUCCCUCGCUGUGAGGACUGCCAUCGAUAUGGCCACACUAGGACAGAUUGCGUUAGAACCUACGCAGCUGCAACAAGUGGACCACUCCUCGAUGAAAACCUCGACAUGCUGAUGGACGAAAGGGAAGCGGAACAAGCAGCGAGCGCGGGCACCACCGAGUGCAACUCUCCCACGGAGUCACUGACCAGGGGCACGCCUGCGGUCAUCCCCGGGUGUAACCCAUCUGCGGCCCCGCUGACCAGCAGCAUGCCCUCGGACACCACCGGGCGCAAUCCUUCCGCGGCCCCGUCGUCCAGGGGCACGUUUGCGGCCUCAACGUCGACACCUUCCUCACAAGUCGAGCUUUCUGCGGACGCUACUACUGAGGGCCCACUAACUGGCGGUGACACAACGCCCGUUUUCCAGGCGGAUGGCCGGGCGAACCAAGCGCAGGAGGCAGCGGUACCGGACACGGCAGGGCAGAACGAAGCGGAGAUGGAGGUGGUUGCCACGGCUAUCAAGCGACCUCUCGUCCAAGAGAACAGCGCUGAGGAAGAGGAGGACGGCACACCGACUUAUUUACACUGUAAACUCGCCACAACCAGACGCGGACGCCUAAGAGCCCCGAAGCCCCGGCCUCCGCUAGAGGACCGGCACGAAAGGAACUCCUAGAAGGUGAACUGUUCCAACGCUUUCAGCGUCGUGCUGUGUGCAGACGCGUUUUGAUGCGCGGGGUUUUGUUCUCUAUUUUCUUUGGAUCGCGACCAUAAUGAAACAGUUGAAAUUAGUAACUUUAAAUUGCGUUAGCCUGAUAGCUCGAAUAAGGAAACAAUGGGUGUUAAACGCGCUGUUAAAAGAGAACGCAGACAUCGUGUUUCUACAGGAAACGAAACUCUCCUCCGAUUCUCAGGUGCAAGAAUUGGCUCGAUUCCUUGAGCGACAUUUCAGUUUGUUUCAUUCGAAUGCUAUCGCACAGAGUGGGGGGGCGGCUAUCCUAGUUCGCAAAGAUAGUGCUCUCGCCGUGCUUCCGGAGUGGGAAAGUGAUAAGAGCGGUCGGGUGUGUGCAGUGGAACUGCUGUGUAAUCGUGAGCUCUUUAAAGUUGUGUGUGUUCACGCCCCCAACACACCAGCAGAUCGAGACUUUGCACCAUGUAUUCCUGUACUGCACAAAUGCUGAAAUAUUCUGGUCGGAACUCCGUCAUGCACUUAACCUUGAUGAGGCCC
rnacentral:misc_RNA from 1 species